UUAAUCAUUUAAAUCGGAUGGGCUUCAAUCGCGUUUCUCGGUUGGGCUUCGAAAAUUGUAGCCCGAAUCGUACAAUUACGACAAGCCCAGCAACCCAUCUCACUGCUUAGAACAUUUUCCCUUUUUCCGCGAUGAACAGACCCUAAUUUACCAAAUCGAUUGUCGAUUGGGUUGCUCUUCAUCUACUUCUUUCCUCCGUUUACGAAUCUGUCGUAAGAGAAAUCAAUUAUUUCCCCACUCCUCUUCACUCUUUAAUCUCUCUUUAAUCCCAUUAAUGGGUUCUUUUGGCUUUCUCCCUCUGAGCUUCUAUAUAACAUCUCUUUCUCCAUGUUGUUUUUUCAUCAAAAGUUCUUUUAUCAUCUCGACUGUGUAUUGGGACGAAGUUAUCCGGUUUUCCCGACUCAGAAAACACGAACUACAAAGCGGUGGUCCCCUCAGCUCCGGUUAAACCCAUCGUCCAAACCGGCGUUUCUUCCGGCAACGUCAAUACCAUGAAACCAACGGUCCUAGCGGCGGUAUCCUCCGGUCCGGUAAAACCAGUCGUCCAAUCCAGUAUCUCUUCCGGCGAUGUCACCUCGAUGAAGUCAAAAGGCUUUGCGGUGGUCUCCUCCGGUACAGGCAAACCAAUCGUCAAUGAUAGCAGCUAGAAGUCAAAGACUUUCUUUGAGUUUGGAUUCAUGAGCGGCGACAAGGACAACUUCAACCUCGCCGAUCUAACCGCCUCUCUUAAAGACAGGAUCGAGCUGGCCUUAUGAACUCUCUCAAAAACAAGCUAUUGGCUGGUCAGCGUUCUGAUGUUCUCGAGAGUCUAACUCCUCAAGUGAGAAACCGUGUUGAAGCCUUGGGGGACAUACAGGGAAAGCAUGAUGAGCUUGAGGCAAAGUUUUGUGAGGAGAGAGCUAUUCUUGAAGCCAAGUAUGAAAAGUUGUAUCAGUCUUUGUAUACCAAGAAGAAGAGGUGAAGGAUCCUGAGCUUGAUGAAGAGGAGUAUGCCCAUAAAUAGUGGAGUUGAAGAAGUUCCAAGAGAUAACUUAAUCAAAUAAGAAAGUUUCAGCUCCCGAAGAUGAAGAUAAACCCGAGUCAGUCCACGCCACUACCUAGAGACGAAGGUCACAUCUAUGGUGGUGAUUUGUUACCUGGUUAAGGAGACGCCAUAGAACAGUAUGUCCGGUAAGGUAAAUGUAUCCCAUGUAAAGAAAUAUUAGGUCUUAACUCUGACGAGAUUCAGAAGUUUGAGGGUCUUGGUUAUGUGAUGUGGAAGUAGGCGUGAAAGGAUGAAUGAUUAUUGCAUCAUAAAGAAAAACCAUGUUUAAAGUGCUGAAGAGGUUUGUGCAACUCUAUAUGGGAGAAGAGCCCAACUAUGAUCCUUCUGGUGAUGUACAGACUGAUGGAGCAGAUGACUGAUUUGAUUUCUUAUGUUGAUUGUGUGGGACUGUAGGUACUUAAUAAUUAUUGUUUGUUUGCUACUUUCCCGUAACCUAGAUGCAUAAUUUAUGUGUAGGUAUAUUGCAUGUGUUAAAGAUGAAACAAUUUGGUUUAGCAAAUCUUUUUAUUUUAUUUUCGAUAGUUAGCUAUGGGAAACACUCCACA